AGCGAACGCUGGCGGCAGGCCUAACACAUGCAAGUCGAACGAACCUUUCGGGGUUAGUGGCGGACGGGUGAGUAACACGUGGGAACGUGCCUUUAGGUUCGGAAUAACUCAGGGAAACUUGUGCUAAUACCGAAUGUGCCCUUCGGGGGAAAGAUUUAUCGCCUUUAGAGCGGCCCGCGUCUGAUUAGCUAGUUGGUUGAGGUAAUGGCUCACCAAGGCGACGAUCAGUAGCUGGUCUGAGAGGAUGAUCAGCCACAUUGGGACUGAGACACGGCCCAAACUCCUACGGGAGGCAGCAGUGGGGAAUCUUGCGCAAUGGGCGAAAGCCUGACGCAGCCAUGCCGCGUGAAUGAUGAAGGUCUUAGGAUUGUAAAAUUCUUUCACCGGGGACGAUAAUGACGGUACCCGGGGAAGAAGCCCCGGCUAACUUCGUG
rnacentral:rRNA from 1 species